rnacentral:rRNA from 1 species
CCACGUGUCGGAGCUGUAUGUACCGUAUGAAUAAGCAUCGGCUAACUCCGUGCCAGCAGCCGCGGUAAUACGGAGGAUGCGAGCGUUAUCCGGAUUUAUUGGGUUUAAAGGGAGCGUAGACGGGAGAUUAAGUCAGUUGUGAAAGGCUGCGGCUCAACCGCAGCACUGCAGUUGAUACUGGUUUCCUUGAGUGCGGUUGAGGUGUAUGGAAUUCGUGGUGUAGCGGUGAAAUGCUUAGAUAUCACGAAGAACUCCGAUUGCGAAGGCAGUACACUAAGCCGUAACUGACGUUGAGGCUCGAAAGUGUGGGUAUCAAACAGGAUUAGAUACCCUGGUAGUCCACACGGUAAACGAUGAAUACUCGCUGUUGGCGAUAUACAGUCAGCGGCCAAGCGAAAGCAUUAAGUAUUCCACCUGGGGAGUACGCCGGCAACGGUGAAACUCAAAGGAAUUGACGGGGGCCCGCACAAGCGGAGGAACAUGUGGUUUAAUUCGAUGAUACGCGAGGAACCUUACCCGGGCUUAAAUUGCGCUGGACAGAUUGGGAGACCAAUCCUUCUUCGGACCAGUGUGAAGGUGCUGCAUGGUUGUCGUCAGCUCGUGCCGUGAGGUGUCGGCUUAAGUGCCAUAACGAGCGCAACCCUUGCCAUUAGUUACUAACAGGUUAUGCUGAGGACUCUAGUGGGACUGCCAUCGUAAGAUGUGAGGAAGGUGGGGAUGACGUCAAAUCAGCACGGCCCUUACGUCCGGGGCUACACACGUGUUACAAUGGGAGGUACAGAAGGCUGCUACCCGGCGACGGGAUGCCAAUCCCCAAAACCUCUCUCAGUUCGGAUUGGAGUCUGCAACCCGACUCCAUGAAGCUGGAUUCGCUAGUAAUCGCGCAUCAGCCACGGCGCGGUGAAUACGUUCCCGGGCCUUGUACACACCGCCCGUCAACGCCAUGAAAGCCGGGGGUACCUGAAGUGCGUGACCGCAAGGAGCGCCCUAGGU